GGCAGCGGCGCGAAUGCCGGGCGGCGCUGGCCCCCGCGCGGCGGGAGCCCCGGCCCCGCGAUAAAAAGGGAAGGGGGCCGGGAGGCGGAAGGUGCGCGCUGCGGGUCCGCUGGGGCGCCGUGCGGCGGCACCGGCAGAAACGUGCCUGGGAGGGAGGGUGCCGGAGAAUGAGCGGGAGGCUGUGCCGAGCGACGAGCCUCCUCCUGCCUGCCCGCCCUCCGGUAGGAAUCCCGGGCGGGCGGCGCGGCGGCGCCCGGGACGCGCGGCUCCCCUGGGCUGCGCGGCGGCGGCGGGCGGGAGGGCGGGAGCCGCGCUUGGUGAGGAGGAGCCGCUGCCGCCUCAUCCUGCGGCACCGGCCGGCGGCGUGAGGAGCCCGGCGAGCGCAGGUGGCAGUGUAGAAGCCAAGAACAAAAAUUGGCAGAAAUAAUAUUCUGUGUACGAGAAAAUGAAGAGUGUACUCAUGACUAAGCACAGGAACCUGGAAAACCACAGAUUGCUUCUGAGAGAACGUGGUUAUGCCACAAAUGUCAACAGAUGACCAAGUCGCCUUCUGUCAGCUGCCCUGCAGUAACUGGCCUUGGGCACACUUCUUGUUAUACCCAGCUGCAAUAUUAGUUGCAGAAAGAAUGAUUUAUUUCACUGUUAGAAUGGGCUAAGAGCAUACAUCCCAUCUGGUAUAACUGACCAGCUGUAACUGAUAAACUGUUAAAAUAUAGUAGCUUGGAUUCCAGAAUCUCAAGAUGCCAAAUAAAAUGUGGUUUUUUGAUACCUGUUGUUUAAAAAAAACAACCCCCAACAACCAAACCACCAAAAUCCAAACAGC